CGUUUUUGUGUGUGCUUGAUCAUAAGAUUUAGUGCGUUUUGGCCAACUUCACUCCUGUUUUUUGUUGUGCGCAUGCGUGUCCUCCGCUUAAAGAAAAGGAGCACAUUAGUUUUUUGGCGUGUUCUUCAGGUGAACUUUUCUUCGCAUACAAAUCGGUCAGCGAGAUUCAGAGCCCCUUCCUGUCGUUUCGGCCGUUGCCAUGGUGAUGACCCGAUGUCGCGCUGCUGCAGCGCUUCGUUCCCACCUCUGGCGGCGCAGGAAAUGGUCGCCAAAACGCUGAGUCAUCGCCUGGCAACCGGCCAUGGCAACGGAUGAGGGCAGAUCUCCGGCACCCCGAUGGUGAUAAAACUCUUGAUAAACCACCGGAAAUGCAGCUAUAAGCUACUUAAACCAACGUGACCGAAGCCAUCCGACAUAUAUCCGGCAUAUCUUCUACAACGUGGAAAAUUGAUUGAACUGUCAGAAUGGUCGGUUUUAUCCGGUCACAUUGCCGUGGAUUAUGGAUGUUACUGUGGCAACCGGAAAGAGCAGGACACUGUAUGUCUCUCUCUUCCUGCAUCUAAAGAAGGAAACAAUAGAAGAUAUUUUCAAGAACGUUGGUAGCCAAACAUCAUUGGCCCCCAUUGACUUCCACUCUAUGGACACAAAUCCACUG